CAGGCCUAACACAUGCAAGUCGAGCGGCAGCGCGAUGUAGUUUACUACUUGGCGGCGAGCGGCGGACGGCUGAGUAACGCGUGGGAACGUGCCCCAAAGUGAGGGAUAAGCACCGGAAACGGUGUCUAAUACCGCAUAUGAUCUUCGGAUUAAAGCUUUAUGCGCUUUGGGAGCGGCCCGCGUCUGAUUAGAUUGUUGGUGAGGUAAUGGCUCACCAAGUCGACGAUCAGUAGCUGGUCUGAGAGGAUGAUCAGCCAGACUGGAACUGAGAUACGGUCCAGACUCCUACGGGAGGCAGCAGUAAGGAAUCUUCCACAAUGGUGGGAAACCCUGGAUGGGAGCAGCGCGCGCGUGCAGUGAGUGAAGGCCUCUCGGGCUCGUAAACUUGCUGGGUAUGAGGUGAGAGAGAUAGGACGUGGGA
rnacentral:rRNA from 1 species